AACCACGAGUACACGAUAGUUGUCUGCUCCAUUUUUUCCCCAUGAAAGCCAAACCAGCCCUCGCACAAUUCCCACAUCGAAACCAGAUGAAGAAUAUGUUCUCUUAAUAACUCCCUAGCUAGAAGAAUUGCUUGCUGGGCUUGGUAGCGCAAGCUUGUAACCCGAGUGGGAGCAUUAUGAUGGUGGAACAGUUGAGCUUGCCCUGAAGGCUGGGCUGGGGUUGCUCUGUUACUG